rnacentral:rRNA from 1 species
CCUUCGGUGUCGUAGCUAACGCGUUAAGUGUUCCGCCUGGGGAGUACGCACGCAAGUGUGAAACUCAAAGGAAUUGACGGGGGCCCGCACAAGCGGUGGAGUAUGUGGUUUAAUUCGAUGCAACGCGAAGAACCUUACCAGGGUUUGACAUCCUGCGAACCUCUUAGAAAUUUGAGGGUGCCUUCGGGAAUGCAGUGACAGGUGGUGCAUGGCUGUCGUCAGCUCGUGUCGUGAGAUGUUGGGUUAAGUCCCGCAACGAGCGCAACCCACGUUUUUAGUUGCCAGCAUUUAGUUGGGCACUCUAGAAAGACCGCCGGUGAUAAACCGGAGGAAGGUGUGGAUGACGUCAAGUCAUCAUGCCCCUUACACCCUGGGCUACACACGUACUACAAUGCUACGGACAAAGGGCAGCAAACUCGCGAGAGCUAGCAAAUCCCAUAAACCGUGGCUCAGUUCAGAUCGUAGGCUGCAACUCGCCUACGUGAAGUAGGAAUCGCUAGUAAUCGCAGGUCAGCAUACUGCGGUGAAUACGUUCCCGGGCCUUGUACACACCGCCCGUCACACCAUGGAAGUUGGCCAUGCCCGAAGUCGUUACUCCAACCCUUGUGGAGGAGGACGCCGAAGGUGGGGCUAAUGACUGGGGUGAAGUCGUAACAAGGUAGCCGUACCGGAAGGUGCGGCUG